ACUCAGACCUAGUAAUGGAGGAUGUCAAGACAUGGAAAAAGCACUGCAUUAGCAGUCAGAAACUUUGCUUCUAAUUACAGCUCUGCUAAGUACUUCCUGAUUGGCCUUGAGUGAUCUGGUACUAAGGUUUGCCUUGGACAAUGUGUGUCUUGAGGCCUGCUAUGUAACGGAUAAAAUGCAUGUGCUUUAGCAUCAGACAGACAUGGUUUUAAGCAACUUCCUGCCACUCGGAAGAUGUCUCACCUUGAGUACUUUUCUAAAUUCCCUAACUUCAGCUUCUUCAUGUUCUAAAGUUAUAGAGAUGAAAAUGCAUAUGGAAUUAUCAUGCAAAUUACCAAUAAAGAGAAUCACUGGUCAGAAUCCCUAUAUUUUGGAGAAGAAAAAUUUUGAAAACCAGUCAGAAUUCAAUCAACUGCAGUUGGGAGAAAGACAGCGAGUAGCUUGAGAGAGAUGAGAAACUAUCAAAAAGAAGUUCCUGACAUGGCAACAGUGUAUCAUCCAAUGAUGUAGAAUACAAUGAAAGAAAAUGUUGUGGAUUGGUUGAGAGAAUACGCCCUGGACUUAGACUGCUGAGAAAAACUUCUGGCUUUAUUCCUUACUGGUUUUGUGAUUUUAAUCAAGUUAUUGAACAUCCCUGUUCUUCAGCUUCUUCAUCUAUAAAAUGGGAUAAUAAAAGGAUAUAUUUCAAGAAGUCAUGAGGAUUACUUAGGAGAGUACGUGGCACACAGUAAGCUGUCAAUAAAUAUGAGCUGUUUCACAACUCUAAACACUAGAGGCCAAAGUGUUUGGUCUCAGUAACAAAAAUAAUCCAAAAUAGAACGUUUAAAAGAUUCUUAACACAGAAAAGGAAGUGGUGAUAUUUUAGGAUCAGAGUGGGUUCACUAAUAACAUGUUCUUUUAGGACCCCACACACUUCCUGUUUGGGCAUCUGUGUUUGCUGACACACGAAAGAGAUUUCAUAGACCUAGCACAUACGGAUUUUAUCAAACAAUUUUGCCAUCCUUAUAAAAAAGAUGGAGAAAUGUGUACAUAGAAGGCUGUGAUAAUAUACACAGAUAAGGAACUAAGCUAGUCACCAGAGAAACAAAAUAAAAGUAUGUUCCUAUUCUCAAGAAGAUUAGAGUACAUUAGAAAAACAGAUAUUUACACAAAUACUUAGUAUAAUAACAAUAUAUAUCCAGUACCGUAGUGGUACAAAGGAGAGCCGUCAAUUCUGCUUUAGUGAUUGUGGAAGGCAAAAAGGUACCAAGGAGGAAGAUAUGAACUAGUUUUGAAGGCUGGUUUCUUGUCCUCAUUGAAUGAUUUUUAAAAAAACAUCUUGUUAUGUUAUUAAAAG
rnacentral:lncRNA from 1 species